UACGAAGGGGGCUAGCGUUGCUCGGAAUUACUGGGCGUAAAGGGCUCGUAGGCGGCCAACUAAGUCGGACGUGAAAUCCCUCGGCUUAACCGGGGAACUGCGUCCGAUACUGGAUGGCUUGAGUUUGGGAGAGGGAUGCGGAAUUCCAGGUGUAGCGGUGAAAUGCGUAGAUAUCUGGAGGAACACCGGUGGCGAAGGCGGCAUCCUGGACCAACACUGACGCUGAGGAGCGAAAGCCAGGGGAGCAAACGGG
rnacentral:rRNA from 1 species